rnacentral:misc_RNA from 1 species
AAAGUUACUGGUUCUACCUCCACGGAAAAAGGUAGAGGACCAACUAGGGGAAAAGAGUUCCAAAGGAUAAAUGAAGCAAAUAAUAAGAGGAUGGCAGUAUGUAUUGAUCCUGUUCAAGGUAGACCAUUUGACAAGGUGCAAUCUGCUCAGUUGUCCAGUGAUAUUGGGAUUGUGUCCAGAGAGUUCAUGACAUGUCCUAUAUCUUGUACAAAACUAACAAAAUGAUGACCAUAAUAGUGCCUAUGAUCAAAUCAAG